rnacentral:tRNA from 1 species
UGUAAUGUGGUGUAUUAGGUUGCAUACUAUGUUUUGGUCAUAGUGGGGGUUUGUUACUCAUUACAU